AGAAACCGAGGCAGAGAGGGAAGAAAGGUUGAUGAAGGAGUCACCAGUGAGUCAUCAUCUCAGGCUGUGACUUGAAGAUUUUUAGAAGAAAAGCCAGUGGGCUCCCAGUCAAAGUUAAAAAGCUGGAGGUAUCUCCUGUGAACGUUUGGGUCUCCUGCAACCACAGCAGUUCCCCGACCCCACACCCCCACAGCCGCCACCGCCUUCG